GCUGCCUAGAAACGAGAAGCACACAUGCUGAAACAGGAAUGAUACAGAGAAGAUUAGCAUGGCCCCUGCACGAGGAUGAAACAGAAAGCAAAACUAAAUUCAG